rnacentral:rRNA from 1 species
CCUACGGGGGGCUGCAGUGGGGAAUAUUGGACAAUGGGGGCAACCCUGAUCCAGCCAUGCCGCGUGUGUGAAGAAGGCCCGCGGGUUGUAAAGCACUUUCAGUGAGGAAGAACGCCUGGUGGUUAAUACCCAUCAGGAAAGACAUCACUCACAGAAGAAGCACCGGCUAACUCCGUGCCAGCAGCCGCGGUAAUACGGAGGGUGCGAGCGUUAAUCGGAAUUACUGGGCGUAAAGCGCGCGUAGGUGGCUUGAUAAGCCGGUUGUGAAAGCCCCGGGCUCAACCUGGGAACGGCAUCCGGAACUGUCAAGCUAGAGUGCAGGAGAGGAAGGUAGAAUUCCCGGUGUAGCGGUGAAAUGCGUAGAGAUCGGGAGGAAUACCAGUGGCGAAGGCGGCCUUCUGGACUGACACUGCCACUGAGGUGCGAAAGCGUGGGUAGCAAACAGGAUUAGAUACCCUAGUAGUC